rnacentral:rRNA from 1 species
UACGUGUGGUGCAAGCGUUAUUCGGAUUUACUGGGUGUAAAGGGAGCGUAGACGGCAUAGCAAGUCUGAAGUGAAAUGCGGGGGCUCAACCCCUGAACUGCUUUGGAAACUAUUAAGACAGAGUGUCGGAGAGGUAAGUGGAAUUCCUAGUGUAGCGGUGAAAUGCGUAGAUAUUAGGAGGAACACCGGUGGCGAAGGCGGCUUACUGGACGAUAAUUGACGUUGAGGCUCGAAAGCGUGGGGAGCAAAC